AAUACAGCAAGUGAAAAUUAUUUGAAGCUUUUUGUGGAUGGUUUCAUAAAGUGAAUCACCUUUGGAGUGGGACAUUAGACAUUUUUCUGGUGAUGACUCAUCCCAAAACUCCGCUUGAAAACCUCCAAGGAAUCUCACAUUCUUUUGCUCUUGGGAUGUUUGAACUCUUACAACUGUGAAAAAUAAUAAAACAAACCUAUAAAGGAAGCUGAUGAAAUGAAGCAGAAGGGAGCAAUAGAGGGCUCUUUCCACCUAUUUUUCUAUGUGUAGGCUGAGACUAGGGAUCAGCAUGUGGUUCAAUAUACUUGUCUUUCCUGCUACUUCUGCUCUGCCACCUCAUUAUUAUUGUGGUUGGGAGUUACAAAUCAGUACAUCCUAUAUGGAGUCAAGGAUGUUCUUUCCCAUCUUCUAGUGCAAGAAGAAAUUGUGUUGUUGGGACAUAAAGUUAUGAUCAUAGCUUAAAUACAUGUCCUUUUCUGACUUUGAAAAUGCAGCUUGCAAGUACAUUAGACUGCUUCCUUACCUCUGUCCCAAACCAAAAGUUGUGUAGAGAUGGGUACUUUGUAUUAAAAAUGCUUUAAAUACUCACUUAAUAAACUUAAAUGUGUCAUACUUUAAA